rnacentral:rRNA from 1 species
GACGAACGCUGGCGGCGUGCCUAAUACAUGCAAGUAGAACGCUGAAGCGAGGAGCUUGCUCUUCUUGGAUGAGUUGCGAACGGGUGAGUAACGCGUAGGUAACCUGCCUGGUAGCGGGGGAUAACUAUUGGAAACGAUAGCUAAUACCGCAUAAAAUGGAUUAUCGCAUGAUAAUCCAUUGAAAGGUGCAAAUGCAUCACUACCAGAUGGACCUGCGUUGUAUUAGCUAGUUGGUGGGGUAACGGCUCACCAAGGCGACGAUACAUAGCCGACCUGAGAGGGUGAUCGGCAAAAAUGGGAAUGAGAAAAGGCACAGAAUAAUACGGGAGGCAGCAGGAGGGAAACUUCGGCAAUGGACGGAAGUCAGAACGAGCAAAGCCGAGUGAGUGAAGAAGGUUUUCGGAUCGUAAAGCUCUGUUGUAAGAGAAGAACGAGUGGGAGAGUGGAAAGUUCACACUGUGACGGUAACUUACCAGAAAGGGACGGCUAACUACGUG